UCUGUUCACAGAAUAUAAUAAAUAUUGAAGUGUGAAAUAACUGGAUCUAUACUCUGAAGAAAAUUCCACAUGCAAAAGAAAAAUUCUUGCUUAUGUAAAAACUAUAAAGAUCACAAUACAAUAUAACUUGGCCAAAUAUAAACUAUAUGAAAUAAAAAAGAAACGACACAAUUUGGAAACAAAUCUACUCUCUACAAAAUCUAUACAGAAAAUGAAGAACAAAAUUUGAAGAAUCUAAAGUUAAAACAAAGGAAGAUCCUAUUAUUUCACAUAACAAUUAAAAAAGAACAACAUCUAUUGCUCAAAACUCAUUUCCAUUCUUCUAAAAAGUUCCUUCAUAAAAAGAAAAAACAAAAAAAAACUAGAAAAACA